GCUCUUAGUCAACACACCGCUUCACGGGUCAGGACAUAAAGGAGUGUGGGGUCUCUCCAGACGCUCUAAACUGUCUCUGCGUACCGUCUUUCGCUCAUCCAGGACGUUGAAUAGGCUAAAGAAGAGAGCCGGAUUGAUAUCAACCAGAUCUCAACCUCCCUUCUUAUUGGUCAUUCUUUCUCUCUCUCUCUUUUCUCAGUCAUCCUGCUCGCUCAGACUUGGAUAGAGGACAAUACAGUUCUCACAGACCGCGAGUGCUCGGACAGUCUCUGUAGGAACAGAAGACAACGUAAAGCCCGGACCGCAAGAAGGAGCGUCUUUGUGAUGGUUUAUUCCAGGAAUAGAUGGACAUUAAAGUGGACGUUUCUUUUAAUACUUUUUUAAAGUUUGACACAAAGUCAUCUGGGAACGGAUACCUGUAACUUGGGACCAUAUCAAAAAGGUGAAGAUGAGGUCCAGGACCAGCGAUAUGGAGGGACCAGAGAACAGACCACUGAAGCCGCUCGCUAAAAUCCACAACAUUGAAAAAGAAGGAAGCAAACAGGAGCUGAUGAAGAAGAAAACCAAAGCUCGUGAGGAAAAAGAGAGCAGUGGGGAGAAGUCUGUUUCUGGGACAUUGAAAAAACCUCAGAAGCCUUGUGAGAUGCAGCAGAGGAGAGCCGGACUGAUGGAGCUCUCUAAAGAAGAGCUCAUCCAUCUGCUGGGAGUCAUGGAGGGAGAAGUUCAGGCCCGUGAGGAUAUCAUCCACAUGCUGCAGUCUGAGAGAACGCGACCCGAGGUUCUGGAGGCUCAUUACGGAUCUGCGCUUCCUGUCAAACCUCUUCAAGCUCUCCAGAGAGACAGUCUGAUGACCAGCAGCGACUUGAUUAGAGACGAUGUCUAUGAGAUCCCUAUGAUAGAGCUGGACCGUUUGGAGGAGAAGCACCGUGAGACGUACAGACGUAUGUUAGAGCAGCUGCUCCUAGCUGAGAAAUGCCACCGACGCACCGUCACCGAACUGGACAAUGAAAAGCGCAAACACGUCGACUUUAUGAACAAAAGUGAUGAUUUCACCAACCUGCUGGAGCAGGAGAGAGAAAGACUCAAGAGACUGUUGGAGCAAGAGAAGGCGUAUCAGGCUCGCAAGGACAAGGAUCACAGCAAACGUCUUGAGAAAGUUCGGGAGGAGCUGGUUAAGUUGAAAUCAUUUGCCCUGAUGCUGGUGGAUGAAAGGCAGCUUCACAUUGAACAGAUUGACCAGCAAAGACAGAAGGUCCAGGAUCUCAGCAAGAAGCUACAUGAACGAGAGCAGCAGUUGGAGCUCAUCAACAGCAAAGCUAAAGAGGACAGUCAGAGGAUCCAAAGACUGGAGCUCGACCUAGAACAUAAGACCUCCAAAUUUUCACAGGAACAUGAGGAGAUGACUGCCAAGCUGGCCAAGCAGGAGUCUGAAAGUCGACAGCUGCGCCUGAAGCUGGCCAGCAUGUCACGCAGGAUUGAGGAGUUGGAGGAGGCCAAUCGUACCCUGCAGAAGUCCGAGGAGGACCUUCAGGACCUGCGGGACAAAAUAAGCAGAGGGGAGUGCGGGAACUCGAGCCUCAUGGCCGAGCUGGAGAACCUUCGGAAAAGAGUUCUGGAAAUGGAGGGGAAGGAUGAGGAGAUCACGAAAACAGAAGCACAGUGCAAGGAACUCAAGAGGAGGCUUCAGGAUGAAGAGAAUCACAGCCGUGAGCUGAAACUAGAGGUUGAAAAACUGCAAAAGAGGAUGGUGGACCUGGAGAAACUGGAGGGGGCUUUCAAUGUCAGCAAAUCUGAAUGUGCUCAGCUUCACAACAACCUGGAGAAAGAAAGAACCUUGACAAAGAGCUUGGCAUGUGAGCUGGAAAUGGUUAAAAACCAUAUCAAAGAACUUGAGAGCUCAGAAUCGAGGCUGGAAAAGGCUGAGAUGGGCUUAAAGGAUGACUUGACCAAACUGAAGUCAUUCACGGUGAUCCUAAUGGACGAGAGGAAGAACAUGGCAGAACGAAUCAAACAGGAAGAGCAGAAAAGUGAGGAGAUUAACAAACUGUUUAAAGCGGAGCAAUGCAAAGUCAUGGAGGUCACAGAAAAGCUGAUUGAGGAGAGUAAGAAGCUUCUAAAACUGAAGUCCGAAAUGGAGAUGAAAGUGUCUGCUCUUAGUAGGGAAAAAGAUGACCUGAAAUCUAAACUUGCAAGUGAAGAGGAAAAGCAUAAGGAUCUCAGUAUAAAGUUAUGUCAGAUGCAAAGUAAAAUGGAUGAGCAAGAGGAAGCAGAGUGGGAGUCGUCAAGAAACAGAGCUAAUGUUGACAAAGUUGGGUAUCCCGAUGAGGACAACAAGGUGAAGGAGCUCACAAUGGAGAUUGAGAGACUCAGGAACCGACUUAAACAGCUUGAGGUUGUGGAGGGCGAUUUGUUGAAGACAGAGGACGAGUACGACAUGCUUGAGAAGAAGUUCAGAACCGAGCAAGACAAAGCCAACGCUCUUUCCCAGCUCCUGGAGGAAAUGAAGACUCAGAUCACCAAAAACAAGGCCAUAGAAAAAGGCGAGCUGGUAAGCCAAGAAGCUGAGCUGAGACUCCGCUGCAAGAUGGAGGAGGCCAAAACGAGAGAUCUUCAGGCUGACGUCCAAGCUCUAAAGGAGAAGAUUCAUGAGCUCAUGAACAAAGAAGAUCAACUGUCUCAACUUCAGGUAGACUAUACGGUUCUCCAGCAGCGGUUUAUUGAAGAGGAGGAUAAAAAGAAAAACAUGAGUCAAGAAGUUCUGAAACUAACCAAAGAGCUGGAAGCUACAAAGCGCUACAGCCGUGCUCUUAGACCCAGCAUGAAUGGAAGAAGGAUUGUGGACGUUCCUCUCGCUUCCACUGCGGUCCAAACCGACGCAGACAUGAACGAACACAUCGAAGAUGAGACUCCAGCUGUGUUCAUCCAGAAGUCUGUUCUAGAGGAAAAUCACAUCAUGAGUAAUCUAAGGCAGAAAGGUCUCAAGAAGCCGACCGUGUUGGACCGCUACCCGCCGGCGGCUGCAGACCUGGGGACGAGGAAGUCCUGGAACCCUUGGAUGAAGAAGAAAGAAGCUAUUACUAUCACUCAGGAAGUUCCAUCAACCCAGGAAGUCAAUGGCGUUGACCAGAGGUCAACAACAUCACGCUUAUCGCCAGAACUAACCAUGUCUCAGAAACCCGGUCGGCCCCUUCAUAUUAAGGUAACUCCAGACCAUCAGAGCAGCACUGCUACGUUGGAAAUUACUAGUCCACGUGCUGAGGACUUCUUUUCCAGUACCACCAUCAUCCCAACUCUUGGGCUCCAGAAACCACGUAUAACAAUCGUUCCUACUUCUAUGCUGCCAAAGUCCAAAACCAACGAAGGGCCAGCAGAACGGACAAAGUCUCCAGUCACUAUAACAGCCAUCUCCAGAGCAAAAUCUCCAGAGAAAGCUAAAGGCUGCUACUCAGAGCAUCCUGCUUCUCCUUUGUCCAUCAUAACUGUUAGCGCAACUCCAGUCUCCCAAGCGUCGAUCUCUCCAGAGCCUCACGAGAUGACCAUGGGCAGGGCCGUGUUCAAGUUGACCCCUGAAAAGCAGACGGUUCCAACGCCCAUCCGGAAAUACAACUCCAACAUUAUAACCACAGAGGACAACAAGAUCCACAUCCACCUGGGGUCACCAGGGUUCAAGAAACCUCAGGAGGACAGAAGCGGCACAGUUACGGUUUGGCCUAACGGUGUGAGUUCAGACAGCAAGGAGAUGUCAACGGGGACGGUUCUGCGCUCUCCCAGACAGACGUCGGCGAACAUCGGGAACAUGAUUCACGGCAAGAUGACCAGCAGCAUCACAAUAACCCCAAUCACCUCAGCCCCAUCCAGGUCUACUCAAUCUGUGUUGCUUCUGAAAUGUUUCAAAAUGAUAUCAGGGGGCGUCUGCUCCCUAGAUAGCUCUCUUUCAAGCACGGAACGGAUGUGCAGUCAUCUCGCUCCACGGCAACGCGAAUCCCCAUGUCAAAAGAGGAUGCAUUGGUGAGCAAGUGAUGGAAUGCUACAUUUCUCCCAAUCUGAUGAAGAAACAAACUCGCCUACAUGUUGAAUGGCCUGAGGAGAAUGUUGUGCUCCAUGUGAAUCGAGAGCCGCGCUGAGGCUGUUUCAGGUCCGGUCCAUAAUAUGCCUGACAGAAGGGUCCCUACGCCCCCCCUGCGUCCAUAUGCACCAGUGGAACGAGGGGAGAAUCUGUCAAACCCGGUUCAAGCACAAGGAUCUGUUGUGUUGCACCAUAUAUGCAUGCAUACAGAUUACACCAAUGAUUCAAGACCACAAGACAGGCAGACAGAUUGCUGAACCCUGGAUGCCAGAGAGUAAAAAAAGAAAUCAAAAUCGCACAGAACAUGAAAAGUUGCAGAAUGUGAGAAGAAGAGAAAUCGAUAUGUUUUCUUUACAUGCAUUUUGAGAAUAAAUGCUUCAGUAAGACAGAAAAAUCAACAUGAAAUCAAAAUUGGCCCUAUUUACUUUCAUAUUAUGUUCAGGUCAUCUUGAACCGGAGAGGAUUUUUUUUUUUUUCCCCUUAAAAUGCUGGUCAAUUUUAUUGCAUUGGACUAAAACUUAGUGACUUUACUCACAGGAUAUAACAGCUUCCCAAACAAAUUGGAUCAUUUUUGUACUUUUUUUCUUCUUGUAACACUUUGGUUUUCAAAAAUGACUAGCCUGCAAAAAAAAAAAAAAAAAAAAAAGCUUUUUCCAUAUGCUGUUAUUAUUAAAACUUGGAUUCAAUCUUUUCAUCAUGUUUUCCUUCAGUUAGCGCAGGUUUUGCGUUUCUUUUUGGAACGGAAUGAUGAUAGGCCUCAUUGAUCUGCACAUAUGCACCUCAGUUUUUAAGUAAAUAUCUGCAAAUAGUGUUUUUUUCACUCAAAAACUGAGGUGCAUGAGCUCAGCUGAAUAAGGUCUCUGAUCACUCCGUUCCAAAAAGAAAUAAAAAACCAAGUUAACAAAAAGACCGAAUCCAUGAUUUGGUAAAAAUAUAGCAUAAUAAGAGAUUUACAAGCAAUUUUUAAAAUCCGCUCAUUUUAAACCAGGAACUCCAGUAAAUCUUGUUAAAUAUUCUGUUUCACCUGGAAAUAUGUUGCAUUCAUGUAUAAAUCAGGCUGUCUAACAUUACAUAAUAUAUCGUUUGCUUUAAAAAUGACUGGUUAAAGUGUCAUACUGCUGGGAGCAGUUUAUUGAUCAUUUAUCAAUCUCUGCUAGUAUUUAAUGGUGGCAUUGAUGUGUUAAAAGAAUGAGAGAAGGUCAUUUGGGGGAAAGGUGCAUGAUAUUGUAUGUUCAGUUAAGUCUGAAAAUAAAGGUACUCACUGCACAGAAAUGCAAUCCACAAAGUCCUUAUAAUCAACAACUGUAUUUAAUUUCAUUUAUAGCAUAUGACCUGAAUUCAGUAUGAGCUCACUAAACUGAAGUGUGUGUCUGUCCUGCAUAUAAAAAUGAGAAAUUCACCCAAUAAACACAUUUAUGAAGCAUGUGACUUUCUGGUCCACUGGAUGUGUUAAAAUCUGCACCACAAAUGCUUAAGGUUUAGGGACAAAUACACAUUUGCAUGGGCAUGUAGUGGAACCAUUGUGGAAAAAGUAGUGUUUCAAUGCAAAAUUACGACAUUAUAAGAUUUUUUAUCUAAUUUACCUUCAAAAAAUCCUUAAAAAUCACACACAUUAAAGCCUUCCCUGGUGAAAAAAACAGCAUAUGCUGGUUAGGUAGGUUUUGAUGCUGGUUUAAGCUGGUCCUUUGCUGGUUCCCCUUACGAAAAAGAAGUUAAUUCAAGUGUGCUAUUAGUAUACUUCUUUUAAACUAAAACAGGAAAGUAUACUUUGUCUACUUUUAUGUACUUCUCAGAAAUAUACUUAAAAUGACAU